rnacentral:rRNA from 1 species
AGAGUUUGAUCCUGGCUCAGGAUGAACGCUAGCGGCAGGCUUAACACAUGCAAGUCGAGGGGUAUAAGUCUUCGGAUUUAGAGACCGGCGCACGGGUGCGUAACGCGUAUGCAAUCUACCUUUCACAGAGGGAUAGCCCAGAGAAAUUUGGAUUAAUACCUCAUAGUAUAGCUGAACCGCAUGGUUCUACUAUUAAAGUCACAACGGUGAAAGAUGAGCAUGCGUCCCAUUAGCUUGUUGGUAAGGUAACGGCUUACCAAGGCUACGAUGGGUAGGGGUCCUGAGAGGGAGAUCCCCCACACUGGUACUGAGACACGGACCAGACUCCUACGGGAGGCAGCAGUGAGGAAUAUUGGUCAAUGGACGCAAGUCUGAACCAGCCAUGCCGCGUGCAGGAUGACGGUCCUAUGGAUUGUAAACUGCUUUUGCACAGGAAGAAACAACUCUACGUGUAGAGUCUUGACGGUACUGUGAGAAUAAGGAUCGGCUAACUCCGUGCCAGCAGCCGCGGUAAUACGGAGGAUCCAAGCGUUAUCCGGAAUCAUUGGGUUUAAAGGGUCCGUAGGCGGUUUAGUAAGUCAGUGGUGAAAGCCCAUCGCUCAACGGUGGAACGGCCAUUGAUACUGCUAGACUUGAAUUAUUAGGAAGUAACUAGAAUAUGUAGUGUAGCGGUGAAAUGCUUAGAGAUUACAUGGAAUACCAAUUGCGAAGGCAGGUUACUACUAAUGGAUUGACGCUGAUGGACGAAAGCGUGGGUAGCGAACAGGAUUAGAUACCCUGGUAGUCCACGCCGUAAACGAUGGAUACUAGCUGUUGGAAGCAAUUUCAGUGGCUAAGCGAAAGUGAUAAGUAUCCCACCUGGGGAGUACGUUCGCAAGAAUGAAACUCAAAGGAAUUGACGGGGGCCCGCACAAGCGGUGGAGCAUGUGGUUUAAUUCGAUGAUACGCGAGGAACCUUACCAAGGCUUAAAUGUAGAUUGACCGGUUUGGAAACAGACUUUUCGCAAGACGAUUUACAAGGUGCUGCAUGGUUGUCGUCAGCUCGUGCCGUGAGGUGUCAGGUUAAGUCCUAUAACGAGCGCAACCCCUGUUGUUAGUUGCCAGCGAGUCAUGUCGGGAACUCUAACAAGACUGCCAGUGUAAACUGUGAGGAAGGUGGGGAUGACGUCAAAUCAUCACGGCCCUUACGCCUUGGGCUACACACGUGCUACAAUGGCCGGUACAGAGAGCAGCCACUGGGCGACCAGGAGCGAAUCUAUAAAACCGGUCACAGUUCGGAUCGGAGCCUGCAACUCGACUCCGUGAAGCUGGAAUCGCUAGUAAUCGGAUAUCAGCCAUGAUCCGGUGAAUACGUUCCCGGGCCUUGUACACACCGCCCGUCAAGCCAUGGAAGCUGGGGGUGCCUGAAGUCGGUGACCGCAAGGAGCUGCCUAGGGUAAAACUGGUAACUAGGGCUAAGUCGUAACAAGGUA